rnacentral:rRNA from 1 species
ACUCCUACGGGAGGCAGCAGUGGGGAAUAUUGGGCAAUGGGCGAAAGCCUGAUCCAGCAAUGCCGCGUGAGUGAUGAAGGCCUUAGGGUUGUAAAGCUCUUUUACCCGGGAUGAUAAUGACAGUACCGGGAGAAUAAGCUCCGGCUAACUCCGUGCCAGCAGCCGCGGUAAU